rnacentral:rRNA from 1 species
UACGUAGGGCGCAAGCGUUGUCCGGAAUUAUUGGGCGUAAAGAGCUCGUAGGCGGCUUGUCACGUCGAUUGUGAAAGCCCGAGGCUUACCUCGGGUCUGCAGUCGAUACGGGCUAGCUAGAGUGUGGUAGGGGAGAUCGGAAUUCCUGGUGUAGCGGUGAAAUGCGCAGAUAUCAGGAGGAACACCGGUGGCGAAGGCGGAUCUCUGGGCCAUUACUGACGCUGAGGAGCGAAAGCGUGGGGAGCAAACAGG